rnacentral:rRNA from 1 species
GAUGAACGCUAGCUACAGGCUUAACACAUGCAAGUCGAGGGGAAACGACAUCGAAAGCUUGCUUUUGAUGGGCGUCGACCGGCGCACGGGUGAGUAACGCGUGUCCAACCUGCCCAUCACUUGGGAAUAACCUUGCGAAAGUAAGACUAAUACCCAAUGAUAUCCCACGAAGGCAUCGGAAUGGGAUUAAAGAUUUAUCGGUGAUGGAUGGGGAUGCGUCUGAUUAGCUUGUUGGCGGGGUAACGGCCCACCAAGGCAACGAUCAGUAGGGGUUCUGAGAGGAAGGUCCCCCACAUUGGAACUGAGACACGGUCCAAACUCCUACGGGAGGCAGCAGUGAGGAAUAUUGGUCAAUGGGCGAGAGCCUGAACCAGCCAAGUAGCGUGCAGGAAGACGGCCCUAUGGGUUGUAAACUGCUUUUAUAAGGGAAUAAAGUGGGUCACGUGUGACUUUUUGCAUGUACCUUAUGAAUAAGGACCGGCUAAUUCCGUG